rnacentral:rRNA from 1 species
AGCGAACGCUGGCGGCAGGCCUAACACAUGCAAGUCGAACGAUCCUUCGGGAUAGUGGCGGACGGGUGAGUAACACGUGGGAACGUACCUUUAGGUUCGGGAUAACUCAGGGAAACUUGAGCUAAUACCGGAUAAGCCCUUUUGGGGAAAGAUUUAUCGCCUUUAGAGCGGCCCGCGUUAGAUUAGCUAGUUGGUGAGGUAAAGGCUCACCAAGGCUCCGAUCUAUAGCUGGUCUGAGAGGAUGAUCGGCCACACUGGGACUGAGACACGGCCCAGACUCCUACGGGAGGCAGCAGUGGGGAAUCUUGCGCAAUGGGCGAAAGCCUGACGCAGCCAUGCCGCGUGAAUGAUGAAGGUCUUAGGAUUGUAAAAUUCUUUUAGCAGGGACGAUAAUGACGGUACCUGCAGAAAAAGCCCCGGCUAACUUCGUGCCAGCCGCCGCCGUAAUAC